rnacentral:rRNA from 1 species
GAUGAACGCUGGCGGCGUGCCUAAUACAUGCAAGUCGAGCGAACAGACGAGGUGCUUGUACCUCUUACGUUAGCAGCGGACGGGUGAGUAACACGUGGAUAACCUACCUAUAAGCCUGGGAUAACUUCGGGAAACCGGUGCUAAUACCGGAUAAUAUCUUGAACCGCAUGGUUCAAUAGUGAAAGACGCAUUUGCUUUCCCCUAUAGAUGGAUCCGCGCCUCAUUACCUAGUUGGUAAGGUAACGGCUUACCAAGGCAACGAUGCUUAGCCGACCUGAGAGGGUGAUCGGCCACACUGGACCGGAGACACGGCCCAGACUCCUAGGGGAGGCAGCAGAAGGGAAUCUGCCGCAAUGAGGGAAGGCCUGACGGAGCAACGCGGCGGAAGGGAGGAAGUUCUUCGGAUCGUAAAACCCUGUUAUUAGGGAAGAACAAAGGUGUAAGGAACUACGCACGACGUGACGGUACCUAAUCAGAAAGCCACGGCUAACUACGUG